UCAGACGAUGCGUCAUGCAUAUCAAUAAGCGGAGGAAAAGAAACUAACAAGGAUUCCCCUAGUAACGGCGAGUGAAGCGGGAAGAGCUCAAAUUUGAAAUCUUCAAGGUUUUACCUUGACGAAUUGUAGUUUAAAGAAGUGUUUUCUGUUGAAGUUUUGGUAAAAGUUCUUUGGAAUAGGACAUCAUAGAGGGUGAGAAUCCCGUAUUUGACCAUUAUUUUCAGCUGUGUGAUACACUUUCAAAGAGUCGGAUUGUUUGGGAAUGCAGUCCAAAAUGGGUGGUAAAUUUCAUCUAAAGCUAAAUAUUGGCGAGAGACCGAUAGCGAACAAGUACCGUGAGGGAAAGAUGAAAAGAACUUUGAAAAGAGAGUUAAACAGUACGUGAAAUUGUCAAAAGGGAAGCGUUUGACACCAGUGUUGUUUUCUCGAAAAUCAAUUAAAAAGAGUUGGAUUUUGUGUUGUAUUGACCUUAACAGCUUGCUUCACUCUUUUCCUGCUUUUUUUAAUGCACUUUUCGUUUAACAAGUCAACAUCAAUUUCUUUUGUUGUAAAAGAGUCAUUGGAAGGUGGCUUUCUCUUCGGAGAAAGUGUUUAUAGCCUUUGAUCUCUGCAAUCGGAGAGACUGAGGUCUGCAGCGUAGAUCCUUCGGGGUUAGAUACAUUUGUGCUAAGCUACAGCUUUUCAUAGACAACUUGUUGACUAUGUUUAGUCUUGUAACUUACCCGCUUAUGCUAUUUUACCUACGCUUAGGAUGUUGAUAUGCAUGACUGAUAU
rnacentral:rRNA from 1 species